GUGGGGAAUAUUGGGCAAUGGGCGCAAGCCUGACCCAGCAACGCCGCGUGAAGGAAGAAGGCUUUCGGGUUGUAAACUUCUUUUACCAGGGACGAAACAAAUGACGGUACCUGGUGAAUAAGCCACGGCUAACUACGUGCAAGCAGCCGCGGUAAUACGUAGGUGGCGAGCGUUAUCCGGAUUUAUUGGGUGUAAAGGGCGUGUAGGCGGGACAGCAAGUCAGAUGUGAAAACCAGAGGCUCAACCUCUGUCCUUCAUUUGAAACUGUUGUUCUUGAGUGUCGGAGAGGUAAUCGGAAUUCCGUGUGUAGCGGUGAAAUGCGUAGAUAUACGGAGGAACACCAGUGGCGAAGGCGGAUUACUGGACGAUAACUGACGCUGAGGCGCGAAAGCGUGGGGAGCAAACAGGAUUAGAAACCCGGGUAGUCC
rnacentral:rRNA from 1 species